AGCGUCCCUCCCUCUCCCCUACUCCUGUCGUCGCUACAGGCGGCCCAGCGGGCUGGGACCAUCGCAUCUUGCUCAGCCCCAGUUCAGAACACAGAACUUCACACCGCCUGCUCGGGCCUGGAGUCCCCCCCCGCCGCCGACCCACGGGGAGGGCGCAAGGCGCCUUUCAGGGAAGGUGUCUUCGAAAAUGGUCGAGGGGUGAGAGCACUGUGACCCGUCCCUGCCGGGGAUCCUGUGGUGGGACAGCCAGGAUUGGGUCCCUAGCCCGGGGGAGGCAGAAUCUGGGUAAUGGAAGGGAGAAUGGGCUCGCUAUCUGCCCAGAGCUUCCCUGGACUGCAGGAACCCGUCCUAUAAGCAACCCCGAAACUUCGGGGCCCGAGGACCAGGGAAGACCCCCUUUCCUUGCUGUCUUGACAGGGUUGCAGAAGCCAAGGAGUUCGGCAGGGAGACGGGGCUCCUGGGGUGGUUAAGGACGCGGUGACCACCCCUGGGCGGGAGCUGACUCCCGCGGGCCCGGAGGCUCUAGCUUACUCUACAGCAAAUGCUUUUGUUCCCGGAGGCUGCCCUGGGGGAAAGACGCCCCUUACCCCUGCCUUCGACCCUGGAGAGCCCAGUGCCCGCCCGGGCAGGGCUGGAGCCCGAGUCGCCCCAGGCAGAGUCCGCCGAGGCCUGGGGUGGGAGCCGCGACUUCUGGAUCUGCCUCCGAGCUCAGCUAGAAGACUGCGCGCACCUCGUCCGGCGCCGCCCGGCGCGCAGAAGCGGGUCUAAUGUUUAUAACGUUAAUAAUGACAGUUAGGGAGGGCUGUGGAGCCGGGAACCAAGACCUCAUCCCGCCGCCGCCCACGUCUUUGAUCAUUAAAGAAACAGACAACUAA